UACAGAGGGGGCAAGCGUUGUUCGGAAUUACUGGGCGUAAAGGGCGCGUAGGCGGCCUGUUAAGUCGAACGUGAAAUCCCCGGGCUCAACCCGGGAACUGCGUCCGAUACUGGCAGGCUUGGAUCCGGGAGAGGGAUGCGGAAUUCCAGGUGUAGCGGUGAAAUGCGUAGAUAUCUGGAGGAACACCGGUGGCGAAGGCGGCAUCCUGGACCGGCAUUGACGCUGAGGCGCGAAAGCCAGGGGAGCAAACGGG
rnacentral:rRNA from 1 species